AAUCCCAAUGAAGAAUUUAUGUGAAAAUUAGAAGUAGUGGCCUCGAUAUUUAUUUGAUGAGCAUUGGAUUAUGAGGGAUU